rnacentral:tRNA from 1 species
CAAAUUAGAGCUUGAUUUUAAGCAUUUUAUUUACACUAAGAAGAUAACUGAUUAGUUUAAUUUGA